rnacentral:rRNA from 1 species
AUACGUAGGGGGCAAGCGUUAUCCGGAUUUACUGGGUGUAAAGGGAGCGUAGACGGCGAAGCAAGUCUGAAGUGAAAGGACGGGGCCCAACCCCGGAACUGCUUUGGAAACUGUUUGGCUGGAGUGCGGGAGGGGUAAGCGGAAUUCCUAGUGUAGCGGUGAAAUGCGUAGAUAUUAGGAGGAACACCGGUGGCGAAGGCGGCUUACGGGACCGUAACUGACGUUGAGGCUCGAAGGCGUGGGGAGCAAACAGGAUUAGAUUCCCUGGUAGUCCACGCGGUAAACGAUGAUCACUAGGGGUCCGUGGGUAUGACCCAUGGGUGCCGCAGCCAACGCAAUAAGUGAUCCGCCUGGGGAGUACGUUCGCAAGAAUGAAACUCAAAGGAAUUGACGGGG